rnacentral:rRNA from 1 species
UACGGAGGGUGCAAGCGUUAUCCGGAUUCACUGGGUUUAAAGGGUGCGUAGGCGGGUAUGUAAGUCAGUGGUGAAAUCCUGGAGCUUAACUCCAGAACUGCCAUUGAUACUAUAUAUCUUGAAUGAUUGUGGAGGUUGCGGAAUAUGUCAUGUAGCGGUGAAAUGCUUAGAUAUGACAUAGAACACCUAUUGGCGAAGGCAGCAGGCUACACAUAUAUUGACGCCUGGAGGCACGAAAGCGUGGGGAUCAAACAGG